UUUGUUGCGACCCACAAUAUUAAUUUGUUAGACAGAAGACCGUUAUCAAUGAUUAAAGACAUAGGAUUCUGGCGAGUGAUUAUGAGAAUAAUUGCAUUUACAAAAGCCUAAUCUACCACAAUAUUAAUAUUUUUAACAAGAUGCGCACCAUUUAUCAACCUUAAUUUCUUAUGACGAAGUAAUAGUAUAUAUAUUGACCAAACAAUAAACCCAGAAAACCAACAAGAAAAAGAAACGAAAAAAAAAACAAGAAAUAACGUGUAAAAGAAGUACAGAACAAUUAAUGGAAAUGAGAAUUAAUAGCUUUAUCAAAACAAAAGAAUACAAAUCUAAAGAUAGAGUGCACUACUUAAAAGCAAUCUAAUUCCCAUUAGGGUAAUUUCUUUAAAUGUUUUCACUUUUCCACAAUUUACACCUUAGCUGUAACCAUUAAUUCAUCUUUUAGAUGCUUUAAAGAGUUUGAGAAAGAGGGAGCGAGGUAAUUAAAUAUGUUAGAUGCUAUGAAUCUAUGACAAUUGUCCGACCUAGUUAAAAAAAAAAGGCAAAAACUAAAUACUAGUGUGAAAAAGAUUACUCCUCCUAUUCUUAAAAGAGAAUAAUAUCUCAAAAAUUGAAAAUUAUUAGUUUGAAGACUAGGAUCCCCUAGAGUAGGAUAUACUUGUAUAAUUAUAUAGCAGCCAGCAGUUUAGCA
rnacentral:lncRNA from 1 species